rnacentral:rRNA from 1 species
AGAGAGAGACAUGCGCGCAUAUCAAUAAGCGGAGGAAAAGAAACUAACUAGGAUUCCCUCAGUAACGGCGAGUGAAGCGGGAAGAGCUCAAAUUUGAAAUCUUAAAGGGUUUCCCUUGACGAAUUGUAGUUUAAAGAAGUGUUUUCUGUUGGAGGUUUUGGUAAAAGUUCUUUGGAAUAGGACAUCAUAGAGGGUGAGAAUCCCGUAUUUGACCAUUAUUUCCAGCUUUGUGAUACACUUUCAAAGAGUCGGAUUGUUUGGGAAUGCAGUCCAAAAUGGGUGGUAAAUUUCAUCUAAAGCUAAAUAUUGGCGAGAGACCGAUAGCGAACAAGUACCGUGAGGGAAAGAUGAAAAGAACUUUGAAAAGAGAGUUAAACAGUACGUGAAAUUGUCAAAAGGGAAGCGUUUGACACCAGUGUUGUUUUCUCGAAAAUCAAUUAAAAAAGGCAGGAUUUUGUGUUGUAUUGACUUUAUCAGCUUUCUGCACUCUUUUCUUGUCUUUUUUAAUGCACUUUUCGUUUAACAAGUCAACAUCAAUUUCUUUUGUUGUAAAAGGGUCAUUGGAAGGUGGCUUUCUUUUCGGAGAAAGUGUUUAUAGCCUUUGGCCUCUGCAAUCGGAGAGAUUGAGGUCUGCAGCGUAGAUCCUUCGGGGUUAGAUACAUUUGUGCUAAGUUAUAGCCUUUCAUAGACAACUUGUUGACUAUGAUCAGUCAUGUAGCUUACUCGCUUAUGCUAUUUUACCUACGCUUAGGAUGUUGAUGUGAUACUGCGAGCA